rnacentral:rRNA from 1 species
UACGUAGGCAGCGAGCGUUGUUCGGAGUUACUGGGCGUAAAGGGUGUGUAGGCGGUUGUUUAAGUUUGGUGUGAAAUCUCCCGGCUCAACCGGGAGGGUGCGCCGAAAACUGGAGGGCUAGAGUGCGGGAAGGGAGAGUAGAAUUCCUGGUGUAGCGGUGAAAUGCGUAGAUAUCAGGAGGAACACCUGUGGUGUAGACGGCUUUCUGGACCAUAGCUGACGCUGAGACACGAAAGCGUGGGUAGCAAACAGG